UACGGAGGGUGCGAGCGUUGUCCGGAAUCACUGGGCGUAAAGGGCGCGUAGGCGGCGCGGGCAGUCAACGGUGAAAGCUCGGGGCUCAACCCCGAGUCGGCCGUCGAUACUCCCGUGCUCGAGCACUGUAGAGGCAGGUGGAAUUCCGGGUGUAGCGGUGGAAUGCGUAGAGAUCCGGAAGAACACCAGUGGCGAAGGCGGCCCGCUGGGCAGUGGCUGACGCUGAAGCGCGACAGCGUGGGGAGCAAACAGG
rnacentral:rRNA from 1 species